rnacentral:ncRNA from 1 species
CUCCCGUCCAAGGGGAACCCCGGCAAGGGGCUGAGACACCGCAUGGACCGCCAGGAUGGCGGCACCGGCGCGGGAACCCUUCGAACCUGAUCCGGGUCGUACCGGCGUAGGGAUGGAAGCAUAGGGGCCC